GAUGAACGCUGGCGGCGUGCCUAAUACAUGCAAGUCGAGCGAACAGACGAGGAGCUUGCUCCUCUGACGUUAGCGGCGGACGGGUGAGUAACACGUGGAUAACCUACCUAUAAGACUGGGAUAACUUCGGGAAACCGGAGCUAAUACCGGAUAAUAUAUCGAACCGCAUGGUUCAAUAGUGAAAGACGGUUUUGCUGUCACUUAUAGAUGGAUCCGCGCCGCAUUAGCUAGUUGGUAAGGUAACGGCUUACCAAGGCGACGAUGCGUAGCCGACCUGAGAGGGUGAUCGGCCACACUGGAACUGAGACACGGUCCAGACUCCUACGGGAGGCAGCAGUAGGGAAUCUUCCGCAAUGGGCGAAAGCCUGACGGAGCAACGCCGCGUGAGUGAUGAAGGUCUUCGGAUCGUAAAACUCUGUUAUUAGGGAAGAACAAAUGUGUAAGUAACUACGCACGUCUUGACGGUACCUAAUCAGAAAGCCACGGCUAACUACGUG
rnacentral:rRNA from 1 species